rnacentral:rRNA from 1 species
CACGUAGGGCGCAAGCGUUGUCCGGAAUUAUUGGGCGUAAAGAGCUCGUAGGCGGUUUGUCGCGUCUGCUGUGAAAACUCGGGGCUUAACCCCGGGCCUGCAGUGGGUACGGGCAGACUAGAGUGCGGUAGGGGAGACUGGAAUUCCUGGUGUAGCGGUGAAAUGCGCAGAUAUCAGGAGGAACACCGGUGGCGAAGGCGGGUCUCUGGGCCGUAACUGACGCUGAGGAGCGAAAGCAUGGGGAGCGAACAGG